GGCACUUUGGCGGAGUGGUUAACGCGCUGGCCUGCUAGUCUUCUGUUGUACGGAGGAAAGUAAGCCAGUUCCUUCGGGAGCGUGUGUUCGAAUCACACAGGUGUCG